rnacentral:rRNA from 1 species
CAGCAGCCGCGGUAAUACGUAGGUGGCAAGCGUUGUCUGGAAUUAUUGGGCGUAAAGGGCUCGCAGGCGGUUUCUUAAGUCUGAUGUGAAAGCCCCCGGCUCAACCGGGGAGGGUCAUUGGAAACUGGGAAACUUGAGUGCAGAAGAGGAGAGUGGAAUUCCACGUGUAGCGGUGAAAUGCGUAGAGAUGUGGAGGAACACCAGUGGCGAAGGCGACUCUCUGGUCUGUAACUGACGCUGAGGAGCGAAAGCGUGGGGAGCGAACAGGAUUAGAUACCCCCGUAGUCCCUGUCUCUUAUAC